CUGCAAUUGUAAAAGAAACAGAGUUUAUAAUGCCAGCUCAAGUCAAAGGCAAACAAACAGCUCAGCUGAUAAGAUAAACGGCUUGUGAUCGUUAUUUUUAUAUUUUUUCGUCUGUUGCCCGAAACCGGAGACGGAGACGGAGACAGAAACAGAGACCCAUGAAAAUGCAUUUUCAAAACUUAUGUAAGCAAUCAGCGCAUUUCGCUGACGUCGCAACGAAACUGUCUGCGGCUAUGCUUUGGCCCGUGAUUGAGCUCAAUUUGCCAUCAAUUGAAGCGGCAUAGAUUUUAGAAACUUCUCCGAUAAAUAGCCCGCCGAAUCUGUGUCACGAAUGGGGGCUCUUCAGCCGGCUUAAGCCCUAGGGAAUGAUGAAUCACAGCCCAAAGUUUCAGAGACUUCCAGAAUGCAAUCACACAAAUGUGGAAAUUUUUCACCAAAAAAUGUCCAAAGUAGAGUUUUUAGCAUGUACCGCAAAUAUGUCACUAAUAAUAAGUCUUAAAUGUAUAAUUAAAUAAGGGAAAACGUCACAGGCA